GAUGAACGCUAGCGGCAGGCUUAACACAUGCAAGUCGAACGGUAACAGGCCGCAAGGUGCUGACGAGUGGCGAACGGGUGAGUAAUGCAUCGGAACGUGCCCAGUCGUGGGGGAUAACGCAGCGAAAGCUGUGCUAAUACCGCAUAAGAUCUACGGAUGAAAGCAGGGGAUCGCAAGACCUUGCGCGAAUGGAGCGGCCG
rnacentral:rRNA from 1 species